UACGUAGGGUGCAAGCGUUGUCCGGAAUUAUUGGGCGUAAAGAGCUUGUAGGCGGUUUGUCGCGUCUGCUGUGAAAUUUCGGGGCUCAACCCCGAACUUGCAGUGGGUACGGGCAGACUAGAGUGUGGUAGGGGAGACUGGAAUUCCUGGUGUAGCGGUGAAAUGCGCAGAUAUCAGGAAGAACACCCGUAGCGCAAAGGCGCUCUCUGGACGGUACUGACGCUGAGACGCGAAAGCGUGGGGAGCGAACAGG
rnacentral:rRNA from 1 species